rnacentral:rRNA from 1 species
AGCUCCAAUAGCGUAUAUUAAAGUUGUUGCAGUUAAAAAGCUCGUAGUUGGAUUUGUGGCUGUCGCAUGCGGCCCGGCAUUCGUGCCGGUGUUUGCUAGCGUCGCCAUCCUUGGGUGGAACCUGUGUGGCAUUAGGUUGUCGUGCAGGGGAUGCCCAUCGUUUACUGUGAAAAAAUUAGAGUGUUCAAAGCAGGCUUAUGCCGUUGAAUAUAUUAGCAUGGAAUAAUAAGAUAGGACCUUGGUACUAUUUUGUUGGUUUGCGCACCAAGGUAAUGAUUAAUAGGGACAGUUGGGGGUAUUCGUAUUCCAUUGUCAGAGGUGAAAUUCUUGGAUUUUUGGAAGACGAACUACUGCGAAAGCAUUUACCAAGGAUGUUUUCAUUAAUCAAGAACGAAAGUAG